UAUGUAUUGGUGUAUGAAGCACAAAAAAUUUUGAUUUUUUAAGAGAGGGUUGAAUUCCCUUUUAUGUAA
rnacentral:tRNA from 1 species